AGUGAAAAUCAGCAAAGAUUUUUUUUUUAUUAUUUUUUUAAUAUUAUUUCAUUCAUCAUACUCUGUGACUAACCACUAAUUGAAAAGCACAUUUAUGCCUUUCAUCAUUACAGCAUGAGUAGAUAUGAUCAAAUUGCAUGCCAGAGGAUGGAAUGAGCGAAAAAAAAAAGAAACCUGCACAAGUACUUGUCUACACGGUACUUGAAAGUAAGUAAAAAAGAUUUCAUCAAUGAAGGUUAAAUUUCAAUUGACUAAAGUCCACUGAUAAGCUGUACAUACUAAGUAUCUAAUACUUUCAGUAUUGCCGAAGGUUUGUGACUUUUCAUUAAUUAUUCUUUUGAGACUAUCCAAAAGACAAAGGAAGUCAAAGAGGACAUUGAGGCUAUAAAGAAGUGCACGCAAAGGUCUGAUGAGGAACUGCAACAGUGGGUCACUGAUGUGAGACAGUGGGCAGUUGACACACCAGAUGACCUCAGAACAGAUGAUCCAGUGGCGUUGCAACAUCUGAUUGAAGGCCUAUUCUUGGGAAUCCAGCAGAAAAAGAGGGAUCUGUAUCGAGUAACCAACCGUAACAAACAGCGACACAAGAUCCAAAGACGGAUUAGAGAGGAUAAGAAAAAGCUGUUUAAUGCCAUAUCCCAAUACAAUACAAUCUUCCAAACACUACAGAAUCUGUAGAUUCAGUUGAAGACCUUCUGGCAACAGAAGGCCCUAUCUGGCCUUGGGAUUCUGAACCAGACACUUGUUAGGCAUGAAGAAGAAGUUUUUUGACAAGGUGAUGCAGCUGGAGAGACUGAUUGAGGAAGAGGCUAUAAUUUUAGAGGAAAUGAAACAACAUUGGACUCAUCUUACAAGAACCUGCAGGGCCUUGAAGGACCAGGCUAAUGUACUAUCAGAUGACCUGGCCACACAGAGCUACCCUUCAGGACUGUCUGGUCAAGCUUACCAUGGCUUGCACAGUGCUGUCCUCCAAAAAUGUUAGGAGCUCAAAACAGACCUGGUAGCUGUGAAAGAAACCUACUCCCAAAUAGUGGUAAAUGGGAAUGGUGGAACUGUUGUUGAAAAAGAUAAUGAAGACCCAUAUGAGCAUGGCUCCACAGAUGCCUCUACGGAUAAUGAAUUAUAGAUUCUCUCUUCUCCACUGCACAAACUGGUCUCCUGAUUCUGAGUAGCUCAAGUUAGCUCUCCCCAUUGUAAAUAAUAAAACCUUGAACCUGAAUUUUCUAUC